UACGGGGGGGGGCAAGCGUUGUUCGGAAUUACUGGGCGUAAAGGGCUCGUAGGCGGCCAACUAAGUCAGACGUGAAAUCCCUCGGCUUAACCGGGGAACUGCGUCUGAUACUGGAUGGCUUGAGAUUGGGAGAGGGAUGCGGAAUUCCAGGUGUAGCGGUGAAAUGCGUAGAUAUCUGGAGGAACACCGGUGGCGAAGGCGGCAUCCUGGACCAACACUGACGCUGAGGAAGC
rnacentral:rRNA from 1 species